CUACGGGCGGCACCAGUGGGGAAUAUUGCACAAUGGAGGAAACUCUGAUGCAGCAACGCCGCGUGGAGGAUGACACUUUUCGGAGCGUAAACUCCUUUUAUAUAGGAAGAAGAUGACGGUACUAUAUGAAUAAGCGCCGGCUAACUCCGUGCCAGCAGCCGCGGUAAUACGGAGGGCGCAAGCGUUACCCGGAAUCACUGGGCGUAAAGAGCGUGUAGGCGGAUUAAAAAGUCAGAAGUGAAAUCCUAUAGCUUAACUAUAGAACUGCUUCUGAAACUCUUAAUCUAGAAUGUGGGAGAGGUAGAUGGAAUUUCUGGUGUAGGGGUAAAAUCCGUAGAGAUCAGAAGGAAUACCGAUUGCGAAGGCGAUCUACUAGAACAUUAUUGACGCUGAGACGCGAAAGCGUGGGGAGCAAAAAGGAUUAGAUACCCGGGUAGUC
rnacentral:rRNA from 1 species